UACUCAGUCUGAAAGCAUUUUAUUGAACACAGACUCUGAAUUGCUUACGUUACAGAAAGAAAAGGAGUGACUGAUGGCCUGUAUGUGAGAAGGACUGAUGUGCAUUGAGCUCCUGCUCUCCUCCCCUCCCGAGGUCCCUUCUUUACCAAUGCCACCUAUACUAUCACCACUCUUUUCCUCUCAGAGCCUCUCAGAGUUCAUAAGCAGGUUGCUGUUUAUUAACCUCUACGCUUUCUGCCCAAGACAAGUACAAGGACCUCCAACAACCUCCUUGCAGCCCUUUGAUGCAAUCCGGAAAGGGAAGAGACAGAGCUGAUAAAUGAGGGGUGCAAUAUGUUGAGAAAGGUAAACAGCCUAGAUUCUCUUGGAAGCUGUUAGACCUGAAGAUAAAUGUGGGAAUAAUGAAAGAAAAAUACAUUCGUUGGAAUACCAGAAGACACCAUUGUAGAGGAAAACUUGCCAAAGAAACAUUUUCUUAAACCAGUAAUAAGAACUAAUUUGAAAAUCCUUAAGUAAAUUUAUUGGUGCUAUAAA